rnacentral:rRNA from 1 species
CCUACGGGAGGCAGCAGUGAGGAAUAUUGGUCAAUGGGCGCGAGACUGAACCAGCCAAGUCGCGUGAAGGAUGACUGCACUACGGGUUGUAAACCUCUUUUAUAAAGGAAUAAAGUGAGGCACGUGUGCCUUUUUGUAUGUACUUUAUGAAUAAGGAUCGGCUAACUCCGUGCCAGCAGCCGCGGUAAUACGGAGGAUCCGAGCGUUAUCCGGAUUUAUUGGGUUUAAAGGGAGCGUAGAUGGGUUGUUAAGUCAGUGGUGAAAGUUUGCGGCUCAACCGUAAAAUUGCAAUUGAUACUGGCAGCCUUGAGUUCAGUUGAGGUAGGCGGAAUGCGUGGUGUAGCGGUGAAAUGCUUAGAGAUCACGAAGAACACCGAUUGCGAAGGCAGCUUACUAAACUGCCACUGACGUUGAUGCUCGAAAGUGUGGGUAUCAAACAGGAUUAGAUACCCGUGUAGUC